rnacentral:rRNA from 1 species
UUGAUCUCUGGGCUCAGGGAUGAACGCUAGCGGCAGCGCUUAACACAUGCAAGUCGAGGGGUAACAGGAGUGCUUGCACUCGCUGACGACCGGCGCACGGGUGCGUAACGCGUAUAGAACUUACCUUUUACAGAGGGAUAGCCUUUAGAAAUGAAGAUUAAUACCUUAUAGUAUUGAGACUUGGCAUCGAGACUUAAUUAAAGAUUUAUCGGUAAAAGAUGGCUAUGCGUCCUAUUAGUUAGUUGGUAAGGUAACGGCUUACCAAGACAGCGAUAGGUAGGGGUCCUGAGAGGGAGAUCCCCCACACUGGUACUGAGACACGGACCAGACUCCUACGGGAGGCAGCAGUGAGGAAUAUUGGGCAAUGGAGGCAACUCUGACCCAGCCAUGCCGCGUGCAGGAAGACGGCCCUAUGGGUUGUAAACUGCUUUUAUACAGGAAGAAACCCUGCUACGUGUAGCAGCUUGACGGUACUGUAAGAAUAAGGACCGGCUAACUCCGUGCCAGCAGCCGCGGUAAUACGGAGGGUCCGAGCGUUAUCCGGAAUCAUUGGGUUUAAAGGGUCCGCAGGCGGUCAAUUAAGUCAGAGGUGAAAUCCCAUAGCUCAACUAUGGAACUGCCUUUGAUACUGGUUGACUUGAGUCAUAUGGAAGUAGAUAGAAUGUGUAGUGUAGCGGUGAAAUGCAUAGAUAUUACACAGAAUACCGAUUGCGAAAGCAGUCUACCUCGUAUGUACUGACCCUGAAGGACAAAACGUGGG